rnacentral:rRNA from 1 species
UACCAGCACCCCGAGUGGUCGGGACGUUUAUUGGGCCUAAAGCAUCCGUAGCCGGUUCUACAAGUCUUCCGUUAAAUCCAACUGCUUAACAGGUGGGCUGCGGAAGAUACUAUAGAGCUAGGAGGCGGGAGAGGCAAGCGGUACUCGAUGGGUAGGGGUAAAAUCCGUUGAUCCAUUGAAGACCACCAGUGGCGAAGGCGGCUUGCCAGAAUGCGCUCGACGGUGAGGGAUGAAAGCUGGGGAGCAAACCGG